UUUUUUAUUCUAUUUUUUUCCUUUUUUCUUUUUUUUCUUCUUCAUAGGUUGGUCACCGGAAAGGCGAUCGGUGUAAUAACUCCAAUUUGGCACACCAGGUGGCCGAAUCUGGCCACUAUGACUCCAGAUCGACGCUUCCCCCAAGCUGGAUCUGGCCGUGGAGUGUCAGAUCUAACCGUGGGAUUUGGUCGGGAAGCACCAAAUCUGGUGUUUCCCGCAACCAGAUUUGGCAGUUGAGUGCCAGAUCUGGCUAGAUCUCGAUUGAAUCUUGUCGAAAAUGACUAGAUCGAUGCUUUUUGACCAUAUUCGGUAGUGACACCGUUGUCGCCGACGCUACUGUCGCCGUCUUCGCCGCCACCAACAUCAUCUUCGAUAUUAAGUGCCAAUUAAAGAGAGAAUGAGAGAGGAAAGAACGUG
rnacentral:lncRNA from 1 species